GGUUCCGUAACUCAACCGGAUAGAGUAUCGGUUUUCUAAACCGAAGGUUAGAGGUUCAAGCCCUCUCGGGAUCA
rnacentral:tRNA from 1 species